UACGUAGGCAGCGAGCGUUGUUCGGAGUUACUGGGCGUAAAGGGUGUGUAGGCGGUUUUCUAAGUUUGGUGUGAAAUCUCCCGGCUCAACCGGGAGGGUGCGCCGAAAACUGGGAGACUAGAGUGCGGGAUGGGAGAGUAGAAUUCCUGGUGUAGCGGUGAAAUGCGUAGAUAUCAGGAGGAAUACCGGUGGUGUAGACGGCUCUCUGGGCCGAUAUUGACGCUGAGGAGCGAAAGCGUGGGGAGCGAACAGG
rnacentral:rRNA from 1 species